CAAUAGCGUAUAUUAAAGUUGUUGCGGUUAAAAAGUUCGUAGUUGGAUUUUUACGAGUUUCGACCCUGCACCCCCGGGUGAUGUGUGGUUAGUAUUCUCGUAUGCUUCUAGGAAAUCGUCUUCGGGCGUUUUACCUAGAUCUGUUACUUUGAGGAAAUUAGAGUGUUCCAGGCAGGCAUAAGCUAUGAAUAUAGUAGCAUGGAAUAACAAAAUAUGGCAUCGGUUUUAUUUUGUUGGUUUCUAGAGCCGAAGCAAUGAUUAAUAGGGACGGUUGGGGGCAUUCGUAUUUAACUGUCAGAGGUGAAAUUCUUGGAUUAGUUAAAGACGAACUACUGCGAAAGCAUUUGUCAUGCACGUACNCUUUG
rnacentral:rRNA from 1 species